rnacentral:pre_miRNA from 1 species
AGUGCAGUUGCUAGGUCAUAUGGUAACUGCAUGUUCAGUUUUAUAAGAAACUGCCAAAUUAUUUUCUAUAAUGGCUGCACCAUUUUAUAUUCCCACCAGCAAU